rnacentral:rRNA from 1 species
UACGUAGGAGGCAAGCGUUGUCCGGAAUUACUGGGUGUAAAGCGCGUGUAGGUGGUGGGCCAAGUCUGUGGUGAAAUCGCCCGGCUCAACUGGGCGAGGUCCGUGGAAACUGGUCGACUGGAGGACGGUAGAGGCGAGUGGAAUUCCGGGUGUAGCGGUGGAAUGCGUAGAGAUCCGGAAGAACACCGGUGGCGAAGGCGGCCUGCUGGGCAGUAGCUGACACUGAUGCGCGACAGCGUGGGGAGCAAACAGG